rnacentral:rRNA from 1 species
GAUGAACGCUGGCGGCGUGCCUAAUACAUGCAAGUCGAACGCAUUGAGAGAAGUGCUUGCACUUUUCAAUUUGAGUGGCGAACGGGUGAGUAACACGUGGGCAACCUACCUGAUAGCGGGGGAUAACGAGUGGAAACAUUCGCUAAUACCGCAUAACAAUAGAUAAGGCAUCUUCUUUAUUUAAAAGGCGCUUUCAAGCGUCACUAUCAGAUGGGCCAGGGUUGCAUUAGUUAGUUGGGGGGGUGAAGGCCUACCAAGAAGAUGAUGCAUAGCCGAGUUGAGAGACGGAUCGGCCACAUUGGACCUGAGACACGGCCCAAACUCCUACGGGAGGCUGCAGUAGGGAAUCUUCCACAAUGGACGAAAGUCUGAUGGAGCAACGCCGCGUGUGUGAUGAAGGCUUUCGGGUCGUAAAGCACUGUUGUAUGGGAAGAAAUGCUAGGCUAGGAAAUGAGCUUAGUUUGACGGUACCAUACCAGAAAGGGACGGCUAAAUACGUGCCAGCCGCCGCAGUAA